CCUACGGGUGGCAGCAGUGAGGAAUAUUGGUCAAUGGCCGAGAGUCUGAACCAGCCAAGUAGCGUGAAGGAUGACUGCCCUAUGGGUUGUAAACUUCUUUUAUGAAGGAAUAAAACGAGGCACGUGUGCCUUUUUGCAUGUACUUUAUGAAUAAGGAUCGGCUAACUCCGUGCCAGCAGCCGCGGUAAUACGGAGGAUCCGAGCGUUAUCCGGAUUUAUUGGGGUUAAAGGGAGCGUAGGUGGGUUGUUCAGGCAGUGGUGAAAGUUUGCGGCUCAACCGUAAAAUUGCAAUUGAUACUGGCAGCCUUGAGUGCAGUUGAGGUAGGCGGAAUUCGUGGUGUAGCGGUGAAAUGCUCAGAUAUCACGAAGAACCCCGAUUGCGAAGGCAGCUUACUAAACUGUGACUGACACUGAUGCUCGAAAGUGUGGGUAUCAAACAGGAUUAGAUACCCGAGUAGUC
rnacentral:rRNA from 1 species